UACGAAGGGGGCUAGCGUUGUUCGGAUUUACUGGGCGUAAAGCGCGCGUAGGCGGAUCGUUAAGUCGGGGGUGAAAUCCUGGAGCUCAACUCCAGAACUGCCUUCGAUACUGGCGAUCUCGAGUGCGGAAGAGGCAACUGGAAUUCCCAGUGUAGCGGUGAAAUGCGUAGAUAUUGGGAAGAACACCUGAGGCGAAGGCGGGUUGCUGGGCCGACACUGACGCUGAGGCGCGAAAGCCAGGGGAGCAAACGGG
rnacentral:rRNA from 1 species